rnacentral:tRNA from 1 species
GGCCCAGUGGCUCAGUUGGUUAGAGCGCCGCCCUGUCACGGCGGAGGUCACGGGUUCAAGUCCCGUCUGGGUCG